GAUCAUGGCUCAGGAUGAACGCUAGCUACAGGCUUAACACAUGCAAGUCGGAGGGGCAGCAUGGUCUUAGCUUGCUAAGGCCGAUGGCGACCGGCGCACGGGUGAGUAACGCGUAUCCAACCUGCCUUACACUCUUGGACAGCCUUCUGAAAGGGAGAUUAAUACAAGAUGUUAUCAUGAGUAAGCAUUUUCGCAUGAUUAAAGGUUUACCGGUGUAAGAUGGGGAUGUCCG
rnacentral:rRNA from 1 species